AGAGCGAACGCUGGCGGCAGGCUUAACACAUGCAAGUCGAGCGGGCGUAGCAAUACGUCAGCGGCAGACGGGUGAGUAACGCGUGGGAACGUACCUUUUGGUUCGGAACAACACAGGGAAACUUGUGCUAAUACCGGAUAAGCCCUUACGGGGAAAGAUUUAUCGCCGAAAGAUCGGCCCGCGUCUGAUUAGCUAGUUGGUGAGGUAAUGGCUCACCAAGGCGACGAUCAGUAGCUGGUCUGAGAGGAUGAUCAGCCACAUUGGGACUGAGACACGGCCCAAACUCCUACGGGAGGCAGCAGUGGGGAAUAUUGGACAAUGGGCGCAAGCCUGAUCCAGCCAUGCCGCGUGAGUGAUGAAGGCCCUAGGGUUGUAAAGCUCUUUUGUGCGGGAAGAUAAUGACGGUACCGCAAGAAUAAGCCCGGCUAACUCGUGCCAGCAGCCGC
rnacentral:rRNA from 1 species